AUUUCUUCCUAGUGAGAACAAGACCUGCCUGGUAGAUGAAUGCAGAGACCCAGGAAUAGGAAAUUCAUCACCUGGAUGGCAAGUAUCUUAUGGAAUAAGCUGAAUUUAAGUAGUCUCCAAAGCGGCUUUCAGAGCUUCGUUCUCAUCCAGCUGGAUCACAAGCCUAUGAGGAAACAAAAGGAAAACUUUCAUGUGAGCCCUGGAGCUUCAAAGCAAAUUAGAACACUGCUUCAGCUCUGGGGAAGAAAACACUGAAACACAUGCUUUCUGGUAAUUUUAUGACAGGCAUGAGAAAGAGCAGACGUAACACUUGUUCCUUCUCUCUUUGAGGUAGAAAAGAGUAUUAGAUGACCAAGAUACUUUUCAGAUCUGUUUUGUUAAAGAUUAUAAUUUUAUUUUCACUAAUAAGCUUGCAAUCAACGCAUAAGGAAAGAAAAAGAAAAAAAGAUGUCUUCCUUGCACGUGUUUUGUGUUGGUUAACAUUUGCAUUAGCUUGAUAUUUCUGGGUUUAUUUAUUAGGAAAUUUGUGUAGAAUGGCAUAGACAAGCUCCGACCAGAGGAUCUGUGAUUUCUACAGAGUUUGCUAGGUUUUAUCUUCUGAGGAGCGGAUGCAGGUAAUAUCACUGCUAAAAGGACAGCAAUGAGUUUUAGCUGUUGUGAGUAACACUGCAUGGAGGAAGGGAAACCAUACCUUGUGCUCAGCUCCUCUAUCUGCGAUUCUAGAGGCAACUUGGAGAGCUGGGCUGCAGAGAGCUCCUUCCUAUCGCUCACAUUCAAGGUGAGUCUUGAGUGACUCGCAGACUGGCCUGUAGAUUUAAUCACAAAAUGGGGUUUUAGUAAAACAAGCAAGCGUUUUCACUUGGUAGCACACUGAGUGAAUCUCAGGAAAUAGUGAAUAAAUACUAAGGAAUCUGUUCAGAACUAGGUAUAUCCAUGAAGAUACUGUAACUAUAUAGGACAGGCUUUUAUUUUAACCUCCUUUCAGCAAAAUUAAAACAUGAUGAGUUUGCAUUCCUGGGUUAAAUGCAGUAAUAUGCCUACCUAUUUAGAGAAGAAAAAAAAAUAAUCCAAAAUAUUUAAGUGGCCAAAACAAUAGGUGAUAGAAACAGUUGAAAAGGAUUAUUUUAAUGUUAAUCUUGUCAUUGUGUUUCACUUAAGAUUACGGCAACUGUUGCUUCCUGAAUGCCUGUGAUGAUGUUUGUGUGUGGCACACACCAAAACAGCUUUUGUAAAGCACUUUGAUCCUCAGCAUAAACACAACAUUGGUUAAACGCAAUAAAGCACUCAAACAGGUACUUCAAACUAAGAUUCUAAAUCAGGAAUUCUUUCCUAAAUAAAGGCCUACCCAAAACAUGCAGCAUUGCUCCUGUCAUUUCAAAGGGACACAAAAACUUUUUUCAGGGUUAUAAAGAAAAUAUAAUUCAAAUUUACUACUGGGAUUGGAAAAGCAAAAAACUGAGUGACCAGUCAAUCCCUACAAUGGAAGAAGGCCCAGAGAAGACAGGCAAGGAUGAUGUGCCCAAGAAGCUCAGAAAGGAAUGUAGGAAGUGACCAUAGCUACCGUAGAGGAUGCUGAUCUUAUCCCAACACCAAGUGGAAUGGAGGGUGGUCUUUGCUGUAGAUAAACGGCUGAAUCAGUUGAGUAAAUGUAAAUGGCCUUCUCUAAAAUAAUCAAUGGAAAGUACUACCUACCUUGAGCCUGCUAGACCAACGUGAGGGAAGUGUGUAUGUGGUUCAGGCCAACAUAGGGUAUAAAAAUCAAAAAAACAGCCAAAUGAUCUUUGAAGAAAAUAAGGACUUGAGAUGGCUUCAGCCCACGUAUUCCUUCCCAGCAAAACUGAGGACACACAGCAUCGUGACAGUGAGCAUCUAGGCCAGUAAUGGGAAUCAUACCUGUGUUGCGAUUCAACUGUACAUUGCAAUUCCUACAUUGUGCUUGUGUUGUGAUUUCAGUACAUUGCUGUAUCACUUUUCCAAAUUAAAAUCCCACAUAACAUC